rnacentral:misc_RNA from 1 species
CACCACUCAAGCCUCGCUUGGUGUUGGGACUCGCGGUAACCCGCGUUCCCCAAAUCGAUUGGCGGUCACGUCGAGCUUCCAUAGCGUAGUAAUCAUACACCUCGUUACUGGUAAUCGUCGCGGCCACGCCGUUAAACCCCAACUUCUGAA